rnacentral:lncRNA from 1 species
GCUGGAGAUUUUGGUUCGCGACCCAUACAGCUCGACUGUCUGGGUCACAACUACCAAUAUCCAUACGUUGAGGCGAUUUCUCACCCUCACUCACGCUAAGCCGCGUGUUGAUCCAUCUCUAUGGAUCCUGAACCUACUGAACACUCCACCGACGGUGUCUCGGUUCCCCGCCAGCCGCCCAGCGCGCAGACGGGGCUUGAUGUCCAGGUUGUCAGCGCAGCGGGCGACUCAGGUACUGGGCCCUGGGCUGAGCUCGGUUGGAUUUUCGCUUCCUUGCAUGAAGCCUUUUAGGGAAACCCAGUCGGGACUAGAAGCCCUACGUCAUUCUGGAGACCGAUUUUUGUGUUUUGCUUCCUGGUCUAUUUUCGCCAUGUUCUUGGCCCGGAUUGAAUGAAGUAGGGCCAGCAUUUAGAUGUCAUUUAUGGAGCAUGUUGCAUGUUUUGUUUUUAGCAGUGCUAUAGAUUAAAGCUGCUGCUAUGUGCAUGUGUAGAUAAGUGCUAUACUACUGAGGCUGACAAUUCUCCACACAACUGGGCUUACCGUUUAAAGCACCCAAUAUGAGUUAAUAUUCCACACUCCUAAAAGUUAGGGAUAACCCUCAUUUUAUGCAUGGGUGGUCUUAGAUAUAAAGAGCUCUGGGGGGAACAAUCAUUAGAAUUUACCAGUUUUCUAAGUCGCAGCUAUAGACUGGUUAUUGAGAGUGUGCAGUAGCAUUAUAGUCAUAUGCAUAUAGCAAACAUCUAUAUGCAGAAGCUUGCCUUUCGAACAAUUAUCAUUACUCUCAUACUAAUUGCUCUUCUGCAUGACCUCACUUAAUAAUCCAAGUUGGAAGGUGGUAAGGUACAGUUAUGGGUGAGAAGCUCGGGUCCCAGAGAGGUUAAGUCAUUUGCUGACUGUUACCCAGAUAAACAGUAUCAGAUCCAAGGUAUAAAUCCAGGCAGCCUGAUUUCAAAAUCAGCACUUGCAGAAGACCCUGGUUCAAUUCCCAGCUAGUAGCCAUCUGCAGUUCCAGUUCCAAGGGAUCCAGUACCCACUUCUGGCCUCCAUGGGCACCUGACACACACGUGGUACAUACACAUCUAAAGUUUAAUUAAGAAAAAAUAAUGCUGGGCAUGUUGAUUCAUGCCUUUAGUCCCGCCCUAGGGAUGCAGGCUCAGGAGGAGUUUGAGGAGCUCAGCGGCUCAGCAUGUACCACAUAAUGAGUUCUUGUCAGCCAGGGCUACAUAGUUGAAACCCUGUCUCAAAAAAGAAAAAAAAAGUAUUUUAAUUUUUGUCUUUUUUUUUUUGGCUUUUCGAGACAGGGUUUCUCUGUAUAGCCCUGGCUGUCCUGGAACUCACUUUGUAGAUCAGGCUGGCCUCGAACUCAGAAAUCCGCCUGCCUCUGUCUCCCGAGUUCUGGGAUUAAAGGCAUACGCCACCACGCCCAGCUUUGUCUUUGUUUUUUGAGACAGGAUUUUCCUGUGUAGUCCUAGCUGUCCUAGAACUUACUUUAUAGACUAGUCUGGCCUCAAACUCACAGAGAUCCACCUGCCUCUACCUCUUGAGUGCUGGGAUUAAAGGUGUGCAACAUCACAGCCCAGCUUUUUUUUUAGCGUGGAUUCUGUAGUGUUUACAACUGGGGUUGAAGUGAUGAUUCAGCAGUUCAGAUCAAAUGGUGUUCUUGUAGAGGACCUAAGUUUAGUUCUUAGUACCCAUGUUAUGUGGCUUAUAGCCACCUGAACCCCAGCUCCAGGCAAUCUAACUCUUCUGGCCUUUUUGGGCACCUGUACACAUGUGGCAUAUAUUUGUGAAUACACAAACAUACACAU